UCAUCUUCCAUCUCAUUGUUUGUUUACAUCUAACGUCUCGGAUAAGAAACAUCGAAACGAUCAUUCCUGGUUGUAAUUUCUCCGUAUCAUAACAUGCAAUAUAGCAACACGGAUGGAAGACAUUAUUGUUUUCAUUUUAGAUUUGCUUUGCGAGAGCUUUUAAAUACUACUCUUAUUGGAACAUACAUCUCGGCUUUAUAUAUAAGGAAAUUGUUAUUAAAGCCAUGUUGAAAUAUUUUUUAAUACCAGGCAUAGAGUUUCUUGAAUAUAUUAUUUAUGUUUUCAGAUGUCUGUAUUGUUGUACUUGGAGUUCAUAUUUGCAAAGAAAGUAGGUGUAGGACUUCUCUUCGUGUUUAGCUGUUAUUUAUUUAUGAGUCAUAGUAACUCCUGAGGGUCUAGUUAUUCUGGGUCUACUGUGUCUGUCAGAUUACAAUUUAUGUUACGAUAAUGCUACUUCUAGUUUAAUGUAGAAUUUGCGGAUUACAAUGAAACGUACAACAAUUACUCCUUUUCUUAAUAUUAUUCAUUCUGCUUUAUGGCACCAUUUUCAUCCAGGAUGAAUAUUUCGAAUGUUACAUUUAAAACGAUUUGAAAAUUACAAAAAUUGACAUAGAAAAAAUCGAUGAAAUCACACAAAGUUAUUUUAAUCUAAAGUUACAGAAUACUGUGUAGAACAUUAAAAGAUAUCCUCAGUGUUACGUAGAAAAUUGUAGACACCUGUAGUAAAGCUGGUCUCUUGCAAUAUUGGGUUUUCACCCCUACGACUCAUCUCAUUGAAUGACGUCUUUAAAAUAAUACACAUACAUCGUUGUAGUGGCAUCAUAUAUACUUAUAUAUGUGUAAGUAAUAGAGUUAUAGCAGCAGUUGCGAAUAGUGACUGGCUCCUAACCUGUAAAUGGCAGAAAAAUUUGGUUAUUCAAAGUUUUAUAUCGACAGACAUUUAAUGUGAUUCAGAUACAUUGUCUUCUAUUGGCACUGAUAUAUCGAUUAGAAGAUCAUGCCUCGACGAGGAACAAAGUAAACAUCUGGUUCGUCUGUAGACAGUGGGAAGACAGUGCGGCAAGGAGAGCCGAGGAAGGUGAGCCAGAUAAUGGAAGCUAACAUCAUUGCAGCAGCAUUCGCAGCAGCAGCAGCAGCAACAGUAGCAUCAACAAGAGCAAAAGCAACAACAGCUACAGCACCAAAAACAGCAUCAGCAACAAAAACAGAAACAGCGACUGAAACAGCAACAGUAACAACAACCACAGCAGCAGCAAAUGUACUAAUUAAUUGAUUAUUUUUCAUACUUUCCAAACGACAAAGAAGCAGGAAAUACGAGAUUGUUCAUCAAAGAAGCAGGUUAUUCCGUUAUAACCAAAUAAUCAAACGCUGGCUUAAACUUCACGUACACAACAGUGUCUUCCUUUAAAAAAAAAUAGCUACAAGACAAGCAGUUUUAACACGAGGAUUUAAUCGAUACUGUAAACACCAGUAUUUCUCUGGUGCCAUACUUUAUCAACUCCAGAGGGAUGAAAGGCAUAGAUGAUCUUGGUGAGAUUUGAACUCAGAACGUAAAGGGUCAAAGAAAUAUUACGAAGUAUUAAGGCCGACACUCAAAUGAUUCCGCAAGCCCACCAUUUUUUCAAAAAAUAAUUUAUGCACAAUAAUAACUUAUGCACAAGUCCUGAAAUUUUAAAAGAUGGGUUAAAAACCCUUGGUACCAAUUAGUGAAUCAGAAAUCCAGAUUUGAACAGAACCAGAUAUAAAUGCAACAUUUUCGUCUCUGUAAUUCAUAAUAAAAAUGGAACAGGAGCUAACUUGUAAAGCACCAACUCCAUUUUCUCCACGAAGUUCAAAUCAAGAGGUAUAUUCUUCUACGAAUAUCCGCUCACAAAACCUUGAUCAGCUGAAGGCUAUCGUAGAAGACAUUUGCCCAAGUUUCCAGGCAGUUUGAUCGAACUCGGAACAGUGUGGUUGAAAAGCAGGUUUCUUACCAUACAGGCACACCUACAUAUAUAUGUAUAUAAAAAAGAAAACAAAUGGGGUUUAAAGUUUACGACAGCUCUUUCAUUUUUAGUGACGUACUCAUACAUUAAAUCAUAGCAUAUAACCCACCAUAUUCAGGUAAAAAUUUAAGUGGGUAUAAAGAAGGGAAAUGACACCUUGAU